UACGUAGGGGGCAAGCGUUAUCCGGAUUCAUUGGGCGUAAAGCGCGCGUAGGCGGCCUGUUAGGUCGGGAGUCAAAUCCCGGGGCUCAACCCCGGCUCGCUCCCGAUACCGGCAGGCUUGAGUCUGGUAGGGGAAGGCGGAAUUCCCAGUGUAGCGGUGGAAUGCGCAGAUAUUGGGAAGAACACCGGUGGCGAAGGCGGCCUUCUGGGCCACGACUGACGCUGAGGCGCGAAAGCUAGGGGAGCGAACAGGAUUAGAUACCCUGGUAGUCCUAGCCGUAAACGAUGGACACUAGGUGUGGGAGGAAUCUCCUUCCGUGCCGCAGCUAACGCAUUAAGUGUCCCGCCUGGGGAGUACGGCCGCAAGGCUAAA
rnacentral:rRNA from 1 species